GGGGACCGCCGGACAGUUCGUGAGGUUUUGGCCCUCUCUAAAGCCAAUUCCCCGGGGCUUAUAUUUUUAUCUGAAACUAGACAAGCCUCAAGUAAGAUGGAGCGACUUAAGUGGAGACUACAGAUGAAGGGUUUUGCGGGGGUGUCGAGCCAGGGGCUGAGUGGUGGCCUGGCUCUGUAUUGGGAUGAGAGUUUGCAAGUAACAGUCUUAGAUGCUUGCGCACGGUACAUUGACGUGCGGAUAAUGGAUGCAGCAAAUGAUAAGUCAUGGAGGACAACCUUUGCGUAUGGUGAGCCGAGGGUGGAGAAUCGGCAUCGCAUGUGGAGCACACUAUCUAACCUCAGGGCAGUUUCUGCGGAACCGUGGUUAGUGUGUGGCGAUUUUAACGAAGCUAUGUGGCAACAUGAGCACUUCUCUCAAUCUCUGCGAUCUGAAAAUCAAAUGCAAGUGUUUCGUGAUUGUCUGUUAGCAUGUGAAUUGAUGGAUCUUGGGUUCAAUGGAGUUCCUUUCACAUACGAUAAUGACCAGUAUGGUGUAAGGAAUGUACGGGUUCGUCUGGAUAGGGCUUGUGCGGACGAGGCAUGGAAGGAUUUGUUCCCUCUCUCACAGGUGGUUCACCUUGCGAUUCCUGUUCGGAUCAUUGCCCGGUCCUCAUCCGGUUACUGUCCACACCACCGAGAACUCGACCGGUGUCACGCUAUGAAAUCAUGUGGGAGAGACAUCCUGGCCUAUCUUCGGUGGUGGCAAAUAGUGGGGAGCGCAGUCGCCCAGCGGGGAACUUAG
rnacentral:rRNA from 1 species